rnacentral:rRNA from 1 species
GAUGAACGCUGGCGGCGUGCCUAAUACAUGCAAGUCGAGCGAACAGACGAGGAGCUUGCUCCUCUGACGUUAGCGGCGGACGGGUGAGUAACACGUGGAUAACCUACCUAUAAGACUGGGAUAACUUCGGGAAACCGGAGCUAAUACCGGAUAAUAUAUUGAACCGCAUGGUUCAAUAGUGAAAGACGGUUUUGCUGUCACUUAUAGAUGGAUCCGCGCCGCAUUAGCUAGUUGGUAAGGUAACGGCUUACCAAGGCAACGAUGCGUAGCCGACCUGAGAGGGUGAUCGGCCACACUGGAACUGAGACACGGUCCAGAAUCCUACGGGAGGCAGCAGUAGGGAAUCUUCCGCAAUGGGCGAAAGCUUGACGGAGCAACGCCGCGUGAGUGAUGAAGGUCUUCGGAUCGUAAAACUCUGUUAUUAGGGAAGAACAAAUGUGUAAGUAACUAUGCACGUCUUGACGGUACCUAAUCAGAAAGCCACGGCUAACUACGU